GACGAACGCUGGCGGCGUGCUUAACACAUGCAAGUCGAACGGAAAGGCCCUGCUUUUGUGGGGUGCUCGAGUGGCGAACGGGUGAGUAACACGUGAGUAACCUGCCCUUGACUUUGGGAUAACUUCAGGAAACUGGGGCUAAUACCGGAUAGGAGCUCCUGCUGCAUGGUGGGGGUUGGAAAGUUUCGGCGGUUGGGGAUGGACUCGCGGCUUAUCAGCUUGUUGGUGGGGUAGUGGCUUACCAAGGCUUUGACGGGUAGCCGGCCUGAGAGGGUGACCGGCCACAUUGGGACUGAGAUACGGCCCAGACGCCUACGGGAGGCAGCAGUGGGGAAUAUUGCACAAUGGGCGGAAGCCUGAUGCAGCGACGCCGCGUGCGGGAUGACGGCCUUCGGGUUGUAAACCGCUUUCGCCUGUGACGAAGCGUGAGUGACGGUAAUGUGUAAAGAAGCACCGGCUAACUACGUG
rnacentral:rRNA from 1 species